CUUGCUUUAAUAAUAUAACCGCGUUAAAACUAUUCAUUUACUUUUCUUGUGUAGUUUCCCACUAAUCAUUAAAUGUUUUAUAGAAGUACAAAAGUGUAUAGUUCUAUUAAUUAUUUUUAUAACAAUCAUUAUACAGGAUUUGAAUAUUUUCUACCCAAGCUCAUGCUUCAUAAUGAGUCCCAAAUGAUUUAUGAACAGUGGUUUGUUUUUGUUCAGGAGCGGAUUGUACUCCCAGAGGCUUCAACAGAGCGGGUCUGGAGCUGGGAGCUGCAGGUGGAUGGUGGCCAGGAGCCGUUCAGUCCUACAGACACAGACGGUAGAGGUGAUGGAGGCAGGUCGUCUGGAGGCGCUCGCCGUGAGGUCCGUGGCGGUCGUCUGGAGGCGCUCGCCGUGAGGUCCGUGGCGGUCGUCUGGAGGCGCUCGCCGUGAGGUCCGUGGCGGUCGUCUGGAGGCGCUCGCCGUGAGGUCCGUGGGGGUCGUCUGGAGGCGCUCGCCGUGAGGUCCGUGGCGGUCGUCUGGAGGUGCUCGCCGUGCGGUCCGUGGCGGUCGUCUGGAGGUGCUCGCCGUGCGGUCCGUGGCGGUCGUCUGGAGGCGCUCGCCGUGCGGUCCGUGGCGGUCGUCUGGAGGGGGAAGGCUGGGAGACGUGCAGCCCAAGGAUGACGAACGAAGGACUGAGGCGGAGGUCCUGGAGGCGGAGGCCAACCUGGAGGUCCUGGAGUCGAUGGGCCUGGAGGCGGACUACCUGGAGGUCCUGGAGGCGGAUUGUGGAGACCAUCCUGGAGG